rnacentral:rRNA from 1 species
UACGAAGGGGGCUAGCGUUGCUCGGAAUCACUGGGCGUAAAGGGCGCGUAGGCGGAUUGUAAGUCAGGGGUGAAAUCCCCGGGGCUCAACCUCGGAACUGCCUUUGAUACUGCAAGUCUCGAGUCCGAUAGAGGUGAGUGGAAUUCCUAGUGUAGAGGUGAAAUUCGUAGAUAUUAGGAAGAACACCAGUGGCGAAGGCGGCUCACUGGAUCGGUACUGGACGCUGAGGUGCGAAAGCG